UUACCAUCAACAUGGAAACUUGGCUCCUCAC
rnacentral:piRNA from 1 species